rnacentral:rRNA from 1 species
UAUUGAAAUAAACCUGAUGGGUUGUUGCUGGUUCUCUAGGGAGCAUUGUGCACACCUAUCAUCUUUAUAUCUCCCCCUGUGCACCUUUUGUAGACCCCCCGGGGUCUAUGUUGCUUCAUUUACCCCAAUGUAUGUUAAUAGAAUGUAUGUGCCUAUGAAAUCUAUACAACUUUCAGCAACGGAUCUCUUGGCUCUCGCAUCGAUGAAGAACGCAGCGAAAUGCGAUAAGUAAUGUGAAUUGCAGAAUUCAGUGAAUCAUCGAAUCUUUGAACGCACCUUGCGCUCCUUGGUAUUCCGAGGAGCAUGCCUGUUUGAGUGUCAUUAAAUAUAUCAACCCCUCUUGUUGAGUGGCUUGGAUGUGGGGGUUUUGCUGGCCUCUCAAAAAGGUUCAGCUCUCCUGAAAUGCAUUAGCAGAACAACCUGUUCGUUCAUUGGUGUGAUAACUAUCUACGCUAUUGAAUGUGGGGCAGUUCAGCUUCUUAACAGUCCUUGGACAAUUUAUCAUUUUAUGUGACCUCAAAUCAGGUAGGACUACCCGCUGAACUUAAGCAUAUCAUA